AACGCAGACAGACGCAUUUUGCCGGAAAACGAAUCUGACAUGCCACCUCGAGAUUUUAACCAAGGAAAGACAACUUGAUGUGCUUUGAUUUGAGGGGUCACUCAAUGCUGAACGAAAAUUAGGGACAUUGCUAUGUGAAGAAAUGUUAACAUUGCCGCCUAUGGGAAAACAAUUAGUGGGCUGUACCCAAUAUGUGAAGCCUAUUGGUUCAUGUUGAUACAGGUUAACUUUGAGGUUCAUGCAGAUGGUGUUUAAAACUAUCAGUCAGGAAAAACAAACUCAUUUGAACACAGCUUGAGUCUUCAUAUAUAAAAUGAUGGCAGUACUUUUAAUAUAGGUUAACGCAGACAGACGCAUUUUGCCGGAAAACGAAUCUGACAUGCCACCUCGAGAUUUUAACCAAGGAAAGACAACUUGAUGUGCUUUGAUUUGAGGGGUCACUCAAUGCUGAACGAAAAUUAGGGACAUUGCUAUGUGAAGAAAUGUUAACAUUGCCGCCUAUGGGAAAACAAUUAGUGGGCUGUACCCAAUAUGUGAAGCCUAUUGGUUCAUGUUGAUACAGGUUAACUUUGAGGUUCAUGCAGAUGGUGUUUAAAACUAUCAGUCAGGAAAAACAAACUCAUUUGAACACAGCUUGAGUCUUCAUAUAUAAAAUGAUGGCAGUACUUUUAAUAUAGGUUAACGCAGACAGACGCAUUUUGCCGGAAAACGAAUCUGACAUGCCACCUCGAGAUUUUAACCAAGGAAAGACAACUUGAUGUGCUUUGAUUUGAGGGGUCACUCAAUGCUGAACGAAAAUUAGGGACAUUGCUAUGUGAAGAAAUGUUAACAUUGCCGCCUAUGGGAAAACAAUUAGUGGGCUGUACCCAAUAUGUGAAGCCUAUUGGUUCAUGUUGAUACAGGUUAACUUUGAGGUUCAUGCAGAUGGUGUUUAAAACUAUCAGUCAGGAAAAACAAACUCAUUUGAACACAGCUUGAGUCUUCAUAUAUAAAAUGAUGGCAGUACUUUUAAUAUAGGUUAACGCAGACAGACGCAUUUUGCCGGAAAACGAAUCUGACAUGCCACCUCGAGAUUUUAACCAAGGAAAGACAACUUGAUGUGCUUUGAUUUGAGGGGUCACUCAAUGCUGAACGAAAAUUAGGGACAUUGCUAUGUGAAGAAAUGUUAACAUUGCCGCCUAUGGGAAAACAAUUAGUGGGCUGUACCCAAUAUGUGAAGCCUAUUGGUUCAUGUUGAUACAGGUUAACUUUGAGGUUCAUGCAGAUGGUGUUUAAAACUAUCAGUCAGGAAAAACAAACUCAUUUGAACACAGCUUGAGUCUUCAUAUAUAAAAUGAUGGCAGUACUUUUAAUAUAGGUUAACGCAGACAGACGCAUUUUGCCGGAAAACGAAUCUGACAUGCCACCUCGAGAUUUUAACCAAGGAAAGACAACUUGAUGUGCUUUGAUUUGAGGGGUCACUCAAUGCUGAACGAAAAUUAGGGACAUUGCUAUGUGAAGAAAUGUUAACAUUGCCGCCUAUGGGAAAACAAUUAGUGGGCUGUACCCAAUAUGUGAAGCCUAUUGGUUCAUGUUGAUACAGGUUAACUUUGAGGUUCAUGCAGAUGGUGUUUAAAACUAUCAGUCAGGAAAAACAAACUCAUUUGAACACAGCUUGAGUCUUCAUAUAUAAAAUGAUGGCAGUACUUUUAAUAUAGGUUAACGCAGACAGACGCAUUUUGCCGGAAAACGAAUCUGACAUGCCACCUCGAGCUUUUAACCAAGGAAAGACAACUUGAUGUGCUUUGAUUUGAGGGGUCACUCAAUGCUGAACGAAAAUUAGGGACAUUGCUAUGUGAAGAAAUGUUAACAUUGCCGCCUAUGGGAAAACAAUUAGUGGGCUGUACCCAAUAUGUGAAGCCUAUUGGUUCAUGUUGAUACAGGUUAACUUUGAGGUUCAUGCAGAUGGUGUUUAAAACUAUCAGUCAGGAAAAACAAACUCAUUUGAACACAGCUUGAGUCUUCAUAUAUAAAAUGAUGGCAGUACUUUUAAUAUAGGUUAACGCAGACAGACGCAUUUUGCCGGAAAACGAAUCUGACAUGCCACCUCGAGAUUUUAACCAAGGAAAGACAACUUGAUGUGCUUUGAUUUGAGGGGUCACUCAAUGCUGAACGAAAAUUAGGGACAUUGCUAUGUGAAGAAAUGUUAACAUUGCCGCCUAUGGGAAAACAAUUAGUGGGCUGUACCCAAUAUGUGAAGCCUAUUGGUUCAUGUUGAUACAGGUUAACUUUGAGGUUCAUGCAGAUGGUGUUUAAAACUAUCAGUCAGGAAAAACAAACUCAUUUGAACACAGCUUGAGUCUUCAUAUAUAAAAUGAUGGCAGUACUUUUAAUAUAGGUUAACGCAGACAGACGCAUUUUGCCGGAAAACGAAUCUGACAUGCCACCUCGAGAUUUUAACCAAGGAAAGACAACUUGAUGUGCUUUGAUUUGAGGGGUCACUCAAUGCUGAACGAAAAUUAGGGACAUUGCUAUGUGAAGAAAUGUUAACAUUGCCG